rnacentral:rRNA from 1 species
GGCGGCAGGCCUAACACAUGCAAGUCGAGCGGCAGCGACAACAUUGAACCUUCGGGGGAUUUGUUGGGCGGCGAGCGGCGGACGGGUGAGUAAUGCCUAGGAAAUUGCCCUGAUGUGGGGGAUAACCAUUGGAAACGAUGGCUAAUACCGCAUGAUGCCUACGGGCCAAAGAGGGGGACCUUCGGGCCUCUCGCGUCAGGAUAUGCCUAGGUGGGAUUAGCUAGUUGGUGAGGUAAGGGCUCACCAAGGCGACGAUCCCUAGCUGGUCUGAGAGGAUGAUCAGCCACACUGGAACUGAGACACGGUCCAGACUCCUACGGGAGGCAGCAGUGGGGAAUAUUGCACAAUGGGCGCAAGCCUGAUGCAGCCAUGCCGCGUGUAUGAAGAAGGCCUUCGGGUUGUA